UGGCUGGCUGUUCUCAAACAUAAAUUUCGAUGGAAACCUUAAGACAAUGUGUAAUUUGUCAGACAUAUUGUUUCAAUACGAAUUCUCCCGAACGAUUAGAAAUCUAUAUUUCGCUUGAAAAGGAUUACCUACAUCGUAUAAUUUGUAAAUAGGCUAUCUUUAGGACAAACGAUUAAAUGGGUUUAUUUAUAAUCUUAUUGGUGACGCGAUAUGGUAUGAUCAGAAUCAACCAAUAGAAAAAGACUCAUUAGGAUAUGAGAAGCACACGUACUUAUUGAGUAAGAGAAAGGGAUUUAAAAGGUAAAAAUGAGUGAGGAGAACAAGGAUAGCCAUAGCGAUGAAUUGUCGCUCAUAAGCAUACCUUCUGAUUACAACCCAGCCGGUGGGACAGCCUCCAUUCGGAAGCUCAUUGAGGACUCCAGGGCCCCAUUUUGUUUGGUACCCAAUGAUAUUGCUGCUUCUACAACGCCUGAAGGUUACACUCGGUAUCUAACCCAGACAGAUGAUGGACGCGUACUUUUAUAUGAUAGUAGCAAAGUCACUCCAACAAAAAUUGCGGUUGAUUCAAAUGACACAAACGAUUUACUUGUUCUUGCCGGACUUACAGUUGCUACGUCUGUGUUGCAUGUACGUGUGGAAAGAAAAUUUACAUUAGUCUCAUGGCGUGCAGUUUUGUUUUCGGAGCCGCUGUAUAUUGUUGUGCAAAAGAUUGUCAGGUAUAUCCACCAAGUAAUUGAAGUUACAGGAAACCCAGUUGUCGCUGUUGGUGAUGUACCUGUGGAACAUCGGUCUGAAAUUCAGAGGGCAUUGACGCAACAAUGCCGCUUGCAUGAUCAAUUAUUUCUCGAAAAGGUCCACCCCAACACUUGCGAUGCAGUGUCUACGAUUCCAUCGCUGACUCAGCUAAUCAUGAAACCGUUAAAAGAUCUAAAAACAUUGAGAUUCGGUCAUUUUAGCAACGGCAACUUCGAUAACUUUGACUGUGUGAUAACUUCACGUAUUGUCCAACCGGAUGUUCAGCCUUUUUUUUCCGAUUUAAACAGCUCUAGUGUGGUUAAGCCGUUUCCAUAUUUGCCAAUCAAAGCAUCUCUUCAUGUUCCGGCAAGGAUUACGUCAUUCACUGGUAGUUGACUGUGUAUACGAAGACGUCCAAAAAUAUACUUACCUUGUGUGUGUUCGGCAACUUUGAGCUUGAACAAAAUUUCAGCUAUAUGUCAUGUGCGUUGUGCGUUUAACCUGUAUAAGGUCAUUAUGCUCACGCUUUUUGUCCUGUCGCCGGCGGACUUAAAUAGGUUUAACGAGAUGAAAACAAACGUAUCAUUUUUCUUUGCUGUUUUCUUGAUUAAGCACUUUUAAAAUUGUUAUGUCAGCAAUAAAAUUUUGGUAAGAAAUAGCAACUUCCAAUAAAUUAUAAUUCGGCUAAUCUGCAGUAGUUAUUAUGCACUUGAUUUGCUCAAAAUUUAAGAUUGCCAAACGACUCAAAGACAAAGUAUUUCGGUCAUUUAAAUACCAUUUCUUGUCUACAAAUUUUAGAAGUUAACCUAAAUUAAUACAAAAGGUCCUUUGAUGGUCCUGGUAUAACUGAAUAAAUGUCCUCGCAUAUAUUAAAAUCUGUGUUUGCCAUGAUAAUCCAAAGCUAACAAAACUGACGUAUAAUAAAAACGUCUUCUCCGAAAUCUGUGACUGCAGAAUAUAUAUUGUAAAGAAUUGUUAUGUCAAUGACAUUGUCCUAACAUUUUUAAAAUAACGUAUAUUCUUUGAAAACAUAAUCUUUUUUUUGGUUAGGUUUCCGUAUAUUUCUUUAAAAAAAAUUUUUACCCUGUUAGCAGAUUUCUUGUAUGUGUGUUUUAUUUAAAUAUCAUCUAAAGAAAAAGUUCCUUUUCAAAAACACUGUUUGCUGGAUAUCAAAAGAAGUUGGGACAAAAAUACCUUAAAAUUAGAUGUAUUGUGUUCAAAACCAGUUCCCACUAAUUUAUGGCACAGACAAACUUUUUUUAUCAUUUUCAUGUGAAUUUGAUUUUCAAAAAUGACAAACCAAAGUAAUGUUGUUUAUUUAUCAAUCAACACCUAAUAAUGCUAGCGAGAUAGUUUUAUGUGUCUUGUGUGGUACACAAUUAUACUGACAGAAAUGCGAUUUAAUUACUGUUAUGUAAUGUUAAUUCUUUAUUCUCUUUUGGGAAUAGGCAAAUUCUCAAUGGUACAUAAAUAAGAUGCUGUGUAACCAGGUCAUAUCAACUGUGUGUGUGGAAUUUACAUUUAGAAAAUAACUGAUUUAGGUUUAUUUUUAUACGUAGCAGUCAUACCCGUAAAUUAUCUUUCUACACACUGUGGCAUAUGCAAAUAAAAGACAAACAUAUUUGAAUAAGCAACACUAAUUGGAGUAAACAUACGCUCAACAGGUAUUAAUAUGUGGAUCGAUAUUUAAACAUGAAUGUGUCAAUAAGAAAUGCACCAUUCGGUUAUAAUGGCAUAGGAUAGAUCAUAUUCGUUUUUAUUUUAUUUGUUUUCAUAGUUUUGAAAAUGCUGAAUAUCUUUUCAAUUUGAAGACUCUUGACACAUACACUAUAAUCCAUACAAGUUCAAUCAGAACAAAAGCCUUUGUCCAGAUCAUAUAAAGGUACCUACAAACGCUCAAGGUAUUUCGAAUAGUUUAUAGUUGUGCAUGCAAUUGCUUUCUGCAAUUAAGAUACCAUACUAUGUAUAUAAUCUAUAUUAUAAUAUUUUAUUUCAUGAUUAGUUAAUUGAAAUGAUGUCGUUUUGUACAAACCAAUCAUUUGUUAUGUCAUUUUCGAAAGACUUUACUUAUAGCAAUAUGUGCUCUUAUGUAGUGUAAAUGAUCUUUUUUAUGUGCAAAUGUGUUUUUAAAUAAAUGCACUUAUGUUUUUGGAUGCACUUAUGAAAUUCGCAUUUAUGUUCCAUUAAAGGUAAUGUUGUUUCUUCAGUUUGUCGAAAUAAAUUGUAGACAAUAAA